GGGUUGUGAGGUUAAGCGACUAAGCGUACACGGUGGAUGCCCUGGCAGUCAGAGGCGAUGAAGGACGUGCUAAUCUGCGAAAAGCGCCGGCGAGGUGAUAUGAACCUUUGACCCGGCGAUGUCCGAAUGGGGAAACCCAGUGUGUUCCGACACACUAUCGUUAACUGAAUACAUAGGUUAACGAGGCGAACCGGGGGAACUGAAACAUCUAAGUACCCCGAGGAAAAGAAAUCAACCGAGAUUCCCCCAGUAGCGGCGAGCGAACGGGGAGCAGCCCAGAGUCUGAAUCAGCUUGUGUGUUAGUGGAAGCGUCUGGAAAGUCGCAGGGUACAGGGUGAUACUCCCGUACACGAAAGCACACAUGCUGUGAACUCGAAGAGUAGGGCGGGACACGUGGUAUCCUGUCUGAAUAUGGGGGGACCAUCCUCCAAGGCUAAAUACUCCUGACUGACCGAUAGUGAACCAGUACCGUGAGGGAAAGGCGAAAAGAACCCCGGCGAGGGGAGUGAAAAAGAACCUGAAACCGUGUACGUACAAGCAGUGGGAGCCUCUUUAUGGGGUGACUGCGUACCUUUUGUAUAAUGGGUCAGCGACUUAUAUUCUGUAGCAAGGUUAACCGUAUAGGGGAGCCGAAGGGAAACCGAGUCUUAACUGGGCGUUAAGUUGCAGGGUAUAGACCCGAAACCCGGUGAUCUAGCCAUGGGCAGGUUGAAGGUUGGGUAACACUAACUGGAGGACCGAACCGACUAAUGUUGAAAAAUUAGCGGAUGACUUGUGGCUGGGGGUGAAAGGCCAAUCAAACCGGGAGAUAGCUGGUUCUCCCCGAAAGCUAUUUAGGUAGCGCCUCGUGAACUCAUCUUCGGGGGUAGAGCACUGUUUCGGCUAGGGGGCCAUCCCGGCUUACCAACCCGAUGCAAACUACGAAUACCGAAGAAUGUUAUCACGGGAGACACACGGCGGGUGCUAACGUCCGUCGUGAAGAGGGAAACAACCCAGACCGCCAGCUAAGGUCCCAAAGUCAUGGUUAAGUGGGAAACGAUGUGGGAAGGCACAGACAGCCAGGAUGUUGGCUUAGAAGCAGCCAUCAUUUAAAGAAAGCGUAAUAGCUCACUGGUCGAGUCGGCCUGCGCGGAAGAUGUAACGGGGCUAAACCAUGCACCGAAGCUGCGGCAGCGACGCUUAGGCGUUGUUGGGUAGGGGAGCGUUCUGUAAGCCGUUGAAGGUGGCCUGUGAGGGCUGCUGGAGGUAUCAGAAGUGCGAAUGCUGACAUAAGUAACGAUAAUGCGGGUGAAAAGCCCGCACGCCGGAAGACCAAGGGUUCCUGUCCAACGUUAAUCGGGGCAGGGUGAGUCGACCCCUAAGGCGAGGCCGAAAGGCGUAGUCGAUGGGAAACAGGUUAAUAUUCCUGUACUUGGUGUUACUGCGAAGGGGGGACGGAGAAGGCUAUGUUAGCCGGGCGACGGUUGUCCCGGUUUAAGCAUGUAGGCGGAGGUUCCAGGUAAAUCCGGUACCUUUUUAACGCUGAGGUGUGAUGACGAGGCACUACGGUGCUGAAGUAACAAAUGCCCUGCUUCCAGGAAAAGCCUCUAAGCAUCAGGUAACAUCAAAUCGUACCCCAAACCGACACAGGUGGUCAGGUAGAGAAUACCAAGGCGCUUGAGAGAACUCGGGUGAAGGAACUAGGCAAAAUGGUGCCGUAACUUCGGGAGAAGGCACGCUGAUGUGUAGGUGAAGCCCCUGCGGGUGGAGCUGAAAUCAGUCGAAGAUACCAGCUGGCUGCAACUGUUUAUUAAAAACACAGCACUGUGCAAACACGAAAGUGGACGUAUACGGUGUGACGCCUGCCCGGUGCCGGAAGGUUAAUUGAUGGGGUUAGCGGCAACGCGAAGCUCUUGAUCGAAGCCCCGGUAAACGGCGGCCGUAACUAUAACGGUCCUAAGGUAGCGAAAUUCCUUGUCGGGUAAGUUCCGACCUGCACGAAUGGCGUAAUGAUGGCCAGGCUGUCUCCACCCGAGACUCAGUGAAAUUGAACUCGCUGUGAAGAUGCAGUGUACCCGCGGCAAGACGGAAAGACCCCGUGAACCUUUACUAUAGCUUGACACUGAACACUGGUCCUUGAUGUGUAGGAUAGGUGGGAGGCUUUGAAGCGUGGACGCCAGUCUGCGUGGAGCCAUCCUUGAAAUACCACCCUUUAAUGGCUGGUGUUCUAACGUAGACCCGUAAUCCGGGUUGCGGACAGUGUCUGGUGGGUAGUUUGACUGGGGCGGUCUCCUCCCAAAGAGUAACGGAGGAGCACGAAGGUUAGCUAAUCCUGGUCGGACAUCAGGAGGUUAGUGCAAUGGCAUAAGCUAGCUUGACUGCGAGAGUGACGGCUCGAGCAGGUGCGAAAGCAGGUCAUAGUGAUCCGGUGGUUCUGAAUGGAAGGGCCAUCGCUCAACGGAUAAAAGGUACUCCGGGGAUAACAGGCUGAUACCGCCCAAGAGUUCAUAUCGACGGCGGUGUUUGGCACCUCGAUGUCGGCUCAUCACAUCCUGGGGCUGAAGUAGGUCCCAAGGGUAUGGCUGUUCGCCAUUUAAAGUGGUACGCGAGCUGGGUUUAGAACGUCGUGAGACAGUUCGGUCCCUAUCUGCCGUGGGCGCUGGAGAAUUGAGGGGGGCUGCUCCUAGUACGAGAGGACCGGAGUGGACGCAUCACUGGUGUUCGGGUUGUCAUGCCAAUGGCAUUGCCCGGUAGCUAAAUGCGGAAGAGAUAAGUGCUGAAAGCAUCUAAGCACGAAACUUGCCCCGAGAUGAGUUCUCCCUGACUCCUUGAGAGUCCUGAAGGAACGUUGAAGACUACGACGUUGAUAGGUCGGGUGUGUAAGCGCAGCGAUGCGUUGAGCUAACCGAUACUAAUGAACCGUGAGGCUUAACCUUACAACGCCGAAGGUGUUU
rnacentral:rRNA from 1 species